AUCCAGCUGAUGAGUCCCAAAUAAGAUAAAACACGCGUCUUGGAU
rfam:Schistosoma mattheei strain Denwood, Zambia genome assembly, scaffold: SMTD_contig0002551